rnacentral:rRNA from 1 species
GAUGAACGCUGGCGGCGUGCCUAAUACAUGCAAGUCGAGCGAACGGACGAGAAGCUUGCUUCUCUGAUGUUAGCGGCGGACGGGUGAGUAACACGUGGAUAACCUACCUAUAAGACUGGGAUAACUUCGGGAAACCGGAGCUAAUACCGGAUAAUAUUUUGAACCGCAUGGUUCAAAAGUAAAAGACGGUCUUGCUGUCACUUAUAGAUGGAUCCGCGCUGCAUUAGCUAGUUGGUAAGGUAACGGCUUACCAAGGCAACGAUGCAUAGCCGACCUGAGGGGGUGAUCGGCCACACUGGAACUGAGACACGGUCCAGACUCCUACGGGAGGCAGCAGUAGGGAAUCUUCCGCAAUGGGCGAAAGCCUGACGGAGCAACGCCGCGUGAGUGAUGAAGGUCUUCGGAUCGUAAAACUCUGUUAUUAGGGAAGAACAUAUGUGCAAGUAACUGUGCACAUCUUGACGGUACCUAAUCAGAAAGCCACGGCUAACUACGUG